rnacentral:rRNA from 1 species
AUUGAACGCUGGCGGCAUGCCUUACACAUGCAAGUCGAACGGCAGCACGGGUGCUUGCACCUGGUGGCGAGUGGCGAACGGGUGAGUAAUACAUCGGAACAUGUCCUGUAGUGGGGGAUAGGCAGGCGAAAGCCGGAUUAAUACCGCAUACGAUCUACGGAUGAAAGCGGGGGACCUUCGGGCCUCGCGCUAUAGGGUUGGCCGAUGUCUGGUUAGCUAGUUGGUGUGGUAAAGGCCUACCAAGGCGACGAUCAGUAGCUGGUCUGAGAGGACGACCAGCCACACUGGCACUGAGACAGUGCCCAGACUCCUACGGGACGCAUCAGUGUUGCAUUUUGAACAAUGGUCAAAAGCCUAAUCCAACAAUGCCCCGUGUGUGAAGAAGGCCUUCUGGUUGUAAAGCACUUUUGUCCGGAAAUAAAUCCUUAGCUCUAAUACAGUCUGGAAAUAACGGUACCUGAAAAAUAAGCACCGGCUAACUACGUG